AGUUAAAAAGCAAAACGAAACUAAGCCCAAUGUUUUGAAAACAUUGUGAAAGGAGUUUAAAUCUCCUAUUAACUU
rnacentral:tRNA from 1 species